rnacentral:rRNA from 1 species
UACGUAGGGUGCGAGCGUUGCCCGGAUUUAUUGGGCGUAAAGGGCGCGUAGGCGGCCACGCACGUCCGUUGUGAAAUCGCCCGGCUCAACUGGGCGGGGUCAGCGGAUACGGUGUGGCUCGAGCAAGCUAGGGGGCAAUGGAAUUCCCGGUGUAGUGGUGGGAAUGCGUAGAUAUCGGGAGGAACACCAGUGGCGAAGGCGGUUGCCUGGAGCUUUGCUGACGCUGAUGCGCGAAAGCGUGGGGGAGCGAUCCGG